rnacentral:rRNA from 1 species
AUUGAACGCUGGCGGCAGGCUUAACACAUGCAAGUCGAACGAGUGGCGGACGGGUGAGUAAUGCUUGGGAAUCUGGCUUAUGGAGGGGGAUAACGACGGGAAACUGUCGCUAAUACCGCGUACCGUAGGAUGAGCCCAAGUGGGAUUAUGUAGAUGGUGGGUUAAUGGCCUACCAGGACGACGAUCUCUAGCUGGUCUGAGAGGGUGACCUUCAACCCCGGGACUGGGACACGGCCCGGACUCCACCGGGAGGCAGCAGUGGGGAAUAUUGCGCAAGGGGGGAAACCUGACGCAGCCCUGCCGCGUGAUUGAAGAAGGCCUUCGGGUUGUAAAGUUCUUUCGGUGACGAGGCGUUAUUCACAGAAGAAGCACCGGCUAACUCCUUGCCAGCAGCCGCGGUAAUUC